UGUCUUUACAUUCUUUACCAGUAAAGCAAAAAGUCCUACAUUAGCCUGUAUUCACUUGCCAUGUGUAACUGUAAUUCAUUUCGGCCUCUGAUGGUUUCAAAUCAUGGCUAUAUAUAAUUUCCGAUCUGGCAUCAGAUAUUAAAUAGCCAUGCUAAUGACUAUGUGGAAGUAGUUAACAGUAGUAACACUACAACAGCCUCAAUGUGUUUUGGACCGAAAUACAGAGUGUGCAACUGGAGUAGGGUGGAGGCAAGUGUGCCAGUUGGCUGGGAUUGCUGAAUGUCCCUCCGUCUCUCUCUUACUCUCACUCUUUCACACUCUCUCUGUGUCUCUCUUGCUCUCUCAUUGGGAUUUCCCUACUCAGCUAUUGGCCUGUCUCUGAUUUUAUAGCCAUGGUAGCUUUGCAGCAAGUGCUUAAGAGGCCAGGUUUUCAACGCUUGAGGCUUGGAUCUUGAACCAGCAUAUAAUCGUAAAAGAAAUGUGCCAAGAGGUUUCUUUGCAGUGAAGAUAUGAAAGAGCCACAUUUGGUCCAGUGGAUGAUGCUGUUGUAAAGAACAAUCUUUGUCAGUAAGGUGUACAAGUGCAAAAACAUCUUUAAAGUUGUAAAAAAUAUUUUAUAUUCACAUAAAGAUCUAAAGCUGUACAUUCAAUCUAAAAACUAUUCACCUUCAUUUUUAUGAUAGUAAGUUUAACUUUCAUCUAUUGUAAAUAACUCGUAAAUCAGGCAGUGUGUGUAUGCUGGGAGGGGACUGGAGCAGCUCUCUGUUGGCUCUGGUUCUGCUUAUGUGAGUGAGAUGUCAGCCAAGCUUGUAGCAAAUGGCCUUUUUUUAAUGACCGUGUGAACUCCGUCCUUCCGUAAACACAGUAGAGAAGAGGAAGCGCGCAACAAUCCUCACAGCUGUCUGAGUCCCCUGAGAUCACGAAAACUCCUCAUUCAUUGUUUCUAUCGAAUGAAAAAGGGUUGGAUAUUUGUCCCAACUGUCUUUUGCCGGCUAUACUGUAUACGCGAUGCUGCCAAGCCCAGUGGAAAAAGUGUCAGAUGUCCAUCCAUUCAUCUUAUUCUUCAUCAGGGGUUUGACAGUAGCUCCGAUCAGCCACAGUGCAGGCCUCUGUCAGAGCAGGCCAGGAGAAAGUGCCAGGAAUGCUCCAUGAGGAAACACGAGCUGCCUCUUCCUUCUCACCAUACGUCUGAAUGAGCUACCAUCUGUGGUACUUUUCACUCCUAAUGUGUGGGCAAAUGUGUCUGUGGAGAAACAUGCACUGUCCACUGGGAACAAUAUCCUGGUGCUGAAUGAGUGUGAUGAGAUAUAGAAAAACUCCAGCAUCAGUGAUUUUGUUGCUAGAGGAGUGUUGGUAGCACCCAGACAUUUUUUUAUACAGCCAUUCGUGGAAGUUAUCCAUUUAUGCUGCCUUUACAUUUAAGCUCACACUGGACCUGGACUUUUGACUACAGCAUGUACAGUUGUGGUUGGCUCUGAAAUUUGUCUGUGAACUGUUCUUUUUUUUUCUUUUCAGGCACAGUGAGUGUGCAACAUAUACUGUGCCUAAAAAUUAUGCUUUUUUAUUAUACCAAAUUAAAAAAACUCUGGAAUAUAAUCAAGAGGAUUAUAAAAAACAGGGUUAUUCCACCAAAUAUUGAGUUCUGAAUUCUUAAAACGUUUGAGGUCUGAAAGCUCUGCAUUUAUUUGGUUAUUCUAGCCAUUUCUUAAUUUCUGCAUAUAAAUGCUUUAAAUGAUAUUGGGAGAAAUGUUGUCUGUAGUUUAUAGAAUAAAACAACAAUGUAAAUUUUACUCAAACACAUACCUAUAAAUAGCAAAAUCAGAAAAGCUGAUUUAGAAACUGAAAUGGUCUUUACAUUUUUUCCAGAGCUGUACAUAUUGUAAAUGGAAUCAAGCAAGACCCAGCUGCAAAAAAACAUUAGGAAAAAUUAAUGAAAUAGGUACUGUCCAUCAAAUUCCAGUAGGUUUUCAUUUAGAAUUUUCUGUUUCUGUUAUCUAACAUGCCCCACCCCCAAUAUGUAAAAUAAUUGCUACUGGUUCAAAGUCUUAUCCUCAAAAAUAUACAUACAGCACACCUAAUAUUUGGUGGCCCCAGCUUCCAAUAACUUGUACUAGGGCAGUUGUCUGACCUAAUGAUCUUAAAGUCUACAGCUGUUUAUAAAUGGCUCCAAUAGACAUUUCUGACUUGUGUAACUGUCAGUGUAAAUCUCAGAUCUGCACUGAAAUUAUCGGACUUUUCUUUUAUACUGUGAUGUAUGUUGGUACUGUUUUAAAGUGAGCACUAAUAGAUAAGCCUUGACUCUCGCAAGUUAAAAGAUAUUUUGAAACUUUCAGCACUACUGAAUUAAUAAAAAUGAUUGUAAUUCUUAGUUUUUUCUAUUAAAGAUGUACAGGUGCAUCUAAAAAAAUAAUAUCAUUGUUCAUAUAUUUCAGUAAUUAGAUUUAAAAAGUGAGACUCAUAUAGAUUCAUUACACACAGAGUGAUCUAUUUCAGUUGUUUAUUUCUUUCUUUAUGUUGAUGAUUAUGGCUUACAGCUAAUGAAAACCCAACAGUCAGUAUCUCAGAAAAUUGGAAUAUUAUAUUAGACCAAGUGGUAGUUUUGGCAGUGUGGACCAGUGCCAUCUCUAUGAUGUGUAUGACAACUCCUUCACUUAGUUAUAUAUCAAGUGAUAAAAAGUCAUUUCCAUCCAGUCAAUUGAGUUCAUUCAUAUAUGUAAAAAAUAUUUUUGUUCUUUUCGAUUUAUUUUUAAGUAAAUGUAUUUUAUAAGUAUUUUAGGAAUUUUAUAAGCAUUAUAUAAGUAUUUUUUUUUCCUUUCACAUACACCUUAACUUAAUACUUUGACUUUUUAAAGGAACAGUUUAUACAGUACUCAUACAGUCACUUUUUUACCAUCUCUGGUUAUACCACUCAUGUAUGAUGAUUGAUGAUCUAGACAAACACUGUUGGUCUUUACUGUUGGGCGUUUUUACUGUUGUCAAUCUCUUGCACAACCACUUGUGGGCACUGGGCAUCUACAGCUGAAGCUGUAUACUCUAUAAUGGCCUCAAGAGGGCAGGAAAGUCCUCCUCUGUCCUUCAUAUCUUUACAGUAGCCACUCCACAUCUCAUCUAUUCUACUAUAUGCAGCUUUUGUCAGCUUAAUGAGAUCUUGAGCUGUGUUAUUUGAAAGGAAUGUUUUAUAGCAGUUACUAAACAGCACUUCGUCCCCCUGCAGGUCUUUCUGCAUCACUUUUUGGCAUUUGUGAUUGUGCAGUUCCCUGGUCAUCUGAUUCACAUAUUAAUUCAAGCAGGAAUGGCAGCUUUUACAACUGAAUUGGAAUGAGAUUCAUAUUGGUAAGAAUUGGCUUGAAUGGGUUGAACAGGGUGGUAGCAGUAGUAGUGUCUGUCUGCCUUAUUUAGAAAGCUGAUUUGCAAAUCCAGAGUGUUUAAUCAGUGAGUUCUGAAGCAGCAGGGAGCUGUAGAGAACGUUCAGUAGGAAAAUUCAUGCAGAGGUUGUUUUGGAGGAGAACUUUUUCAACAAGACUGAAAAAUGAUGAGUGGCACGAGAUCAGAGCCAACUGCUUGAGAGUUGGCAGCCCAGAAUGCCCAAGUUCUUGUUUUGAAAUCAAAAAUAUUUGCUGGUUCUUCUUCUUUAAUGUUGCUUAAUGUGUGGUGAAGAAAAAAAAAAUUGCAGUUAGAACUGGAUAGUUUGGUUAAAUUAAGGUUAUAUAGCAUUCUCACCACGAACAAACCUCUCUAGAGCUCAGAAACUCAGACCACCUACUCCCAAGAACCCUGUGCACUGUACUCCACAUCCAAGUGCAAAAACUGUAUUCAUACCUGCACAGAUUUUGAACUAAGGGUAAAAACUAUUUAGUCUUAUUUAACUGAAUUAUAAAAAGCAAGUGUGAAAAGGCCCUUAAUGUUCUAGUAGUGGUACAGUAGCAUUUUAGAUUGGUGCAGCUUAUGUCGGCCCUAUUGUCAUGUCAGAAUGUCAUAAAUUUAAUCCCUAAUGUCAGCCAUCCAUGGCUGGAAGUAGAAAGCGGACAUGGACAGAGUCCUAACUGAGUCUAUUGAAAACUGUACCUACUCAGAAGAAAACAUAUAUAAUUGUAUGGUCAGAUUAAAAAGACUUUUGCUUUGUGACAAGGUGCAUUAUCAUGCUGGAGGUAGCCGUUAGAAGAUAGAUCAGUUGUGGUCAUGAAUGGAUGCACAUGGUCAGCAACAAUACUUAAAUAGUCUUUGACUAAUUAAUUGGUAGAAACAGACCCGCACCAUAAUAACACCUCCACUAGCCUGGACUUUUGAAGCAGAUUUGGUACGUGAAUACAUGAAUUCCAAGUAUUGACACCAUAAUCUGUGUCUCAACAGAAAUUCAUAAAAAUUCAUCAGACCCGGCUUUGUUUCUACUAUCCAGUUCUGAUUAGCUUCUUAGCCUCAGCUUUCUGUUUUUAGCUGAUAUAUUUGUCAUUCAUUGUGGUUUUCUGCUCAGCUUUUGUAGCAUAUCCACCUAUAUUGACUUCUGUCAUUAAAAAGGUGCUUCCGUGGGGCUCUGAGAGGUCCAGCGGGCUGAGUGUUGCCAUAUGCCACUAUGAUCAGGAGAUUCCGGUUCAAAUCCUGUUCAUGUAGCUUGCCAUCAGCUGCUGGAGCCCUGAGACAGCACAACUGGCCUAGAUGGUGCUUUUUCCUCUCAUCACUCCUAAGGGUGAUGUUAAUCAGCAUAAGGCGUCUGUGAGCUGAUGUAUCCAAAAAAGCCCAAAGCUCUCUGACACCAACAGACAUGCCCAGAAAGUUGAUGUAAGCGUCACCUGAAGCUUUUGGUACUUCUCAGCAGGAUAUUAAGCAAUGCACUGCUGCAAACCAAUCACCUAAUUGGAUAUUUGUUGAGCGCAUAGACAAACUGGUGUUGAUCGUUUAGACAACUGUUUACAGUGUGUGUGUGUGUGUGUGUGUGUGUGUGUGUUUACAGGGCGUGGACCGAGACCGGGCGGAAGCUUUUAGGGGGCAUCUACGGACACCUGUUAGACAAAGAGAUGUUAAUCCACUGGACACAAAAGCAGGAGAUUAGUCCUGCCUCUCCACAGAGAGAGCCUCUCCACAUACACACACACACUGAUGACGAGUGUGUCUCUGAGCAGCCGGUUCUCAGAGGAUCAUCAUCUGCUAGAAUGGACGAGCGUUCUGGAGUUUUUUUUUCUUCAGGUGUGUGUGUUGCGCCUCUGACUACGUCACCGCAGCAAUUGAGUCAGCUUUCUGUAUGCCACUCUGAGUCACCCAUUUCAGGGUUGCCUAGUGACCGCAGCGAGGGAAAAUGUUUCCUCUUGCGUAGUUGCUGAUGCUUGGCACCAAUAUUUAUUCAAGCUCUGCUCUGAGAGGACGGGAGAAAAUCCUAAAUACAGUUUCUGCUGAUUAGAUGAGUGUUCUUCCGGCUGGGGAAAAAAAAUUCUUACCACUGAAUUCCGUACUCUUAUCUGUUUUUCACGGCUGCUUAAUCAAGUCCUUAGUGUUUAAUGGGAUGGAAACAGGCCAUGUUCCUGGAGAGACUUUAGAAUACUGUAAUAUCCAUCCCAGAGUCUAGAGAUCCACACUAAAGGCCCAGAACUUUUCUGGACAUUACCCGGAGAAGUUGUUAAUAUACAGUAUGAACACAAUUGUCCGUAUCACUUGUACCAACUAAUAACAAAGCCUGGGUGAUGUGUGAAUAA